rnacentral:tRNA from 1 species
UUAGUGAACAUAGUUUAACAAAAACCCUAGCCUGUGAUUCUAGAAAGGGGGACUAAUCCUCCCCUGUUCACC